CCUGGUCCAAACAUGACCUUGUGCAUACAAUUUUCACCUCUUCAUGUCGAGCUGCAACAGAGGAAACGAAGAAAUGCCUACAACGUGUCAUUAUGUUCUUUACAUCAGCGUAUCUUCAUCGUCAUCGUUCGUGUUUGAUUCUCUGGUUCCAGCAAGAAGACACAACUGAAUUCACCGCAACGUGUGCAUUCUUCAAUUUCCAGGUUCAUUCAUCACCGCGGUUUGGAGAUUCAAUGGCGUUUCAAGAUUCGAAGCUAGCAUCGUCAAACUUGUAACUCAGUUUGUUCUGCUAUCGGAUGAGAAAAUAGAAGAAAACCACGAUGAAAACGAAUCAAAGACUCACCGGAUUGAGGCUCGAAUGUUGACUGUGAUAUUGCAUGUUAUGGUGAAUCAUGCAUCAUGGGGUACAGACUUCGGUCCAGUUUUGGUGUACAUUGGUCCUAUGGUGGGGAUUCAGGAGUGAGUAGCUGGUUCCAGAUGGAAAUCGGUGAAGCAUUACCUGUGGUGAUGGUAGCGGUUUUGUGUGUUUUGGUCAUAAGAUGGGGAUUCAAGAGCGAGAUGAACAUGUGUUGUCCAUGAUAGUAAGACAUGCAUUAUUGAUAUUAUGAGAAUACGCUCAUAAUAUCAAUAAUGCAUGUGGUACCAUCAUGGACAACACAUGUCCAUCUCGCUCCUGAAUCCCCAUCCUAGGACCAAAGCACCUUUGGGGGUACAGACGAGCAGGUAAAUGAGUAGUUGCUUAGAAGUUGAAGGAUAACGUUGAAGUUGUUCUUCUUUCUUUUCCGUUUUAUGUAAUAUUUUAGAUUCUGUUGCUCUGAUUUAUAACACUGGGCGAAGGAACGUUUGUUUUGCUAUUGGUUUUGAUGUUGUUUAUGUUGAAGGCAUUUGCAGUAACUA